rnacentral:rRNA from 1 species
CCUACGGGAGGCAGCAGUGGGGAAUAUUGGGCAAUGGAGGAAACUCUGACCAAGCGACGCCGCGUGCGGGAUGAAGGCCUUCGGGUUGUAAACCGCUUUCAGCAGGGAAGAAGCGAAAGUGACGGUACCUGCAGAAGAAGCACCGGCUAACUAUGUGCCAGCAGCCGCGGUAAUACAUAGGGUGCAAGCGUUGUCCGGAAUUAUUGGGCGUAAAGAGCUCGUAGGUGGUUCGUCACGUCGGAUGUGAAAAUCUGGGGCUUAACCCCAGACCUGCAUUCGAUACGGGCGAGCUUGAGUAUGGUAGGGGAGUCUGGAAUUCCUGGUGUAGCGGUGGAAUGCGCAGAUAUCAGGAGGAACACCAAUGGCGAAGGCAGGACUCUGGGCCAUUACUGACACUGAGGAGCGAAAGCGUGGGGAGCGAACAGGAUUAGAUACCCUGGUAGUCCACGCCGUAAACGGUGGGCACUAGUUGUGGGGACCUUCCACGGUCUCUGCGACGCAGCUAACGCAUUAAGUGCCCCGCCUGGGGAGUACGAUCGCAAGNUUAAACUUAAUGAAUUGACGG